AUACUCUUUGUUUCUCUUCAAAACGUAUAAAUCUUUCGCCUUUUACUAAAGAUUUCCGUGGGGAGAAACAUAUCUGAGUUUUCAGUUAAUUUUUUGAGGCCUUGUUUUGGCAGGGCU